rnacentral:misc_RNA from 1 species
GUAGGUGAACCUGCGGAAGGAUCAUUAAAGAGACGUUGCCCCUCGGGGUAUACCUCCCACCCUUUGUCUACUAUACCUUUGUUGCUUUGGCAGGCCCGUCCUCGGACCGCCGGCUCCGGCCGGCCCGCGCCUGCCAGGGGACCUAAACUCUGUUUGUUCAUGCCGUCUGAGUACUAUAUAAUAGUUAAAACUUUCAACAACGGAUCUCUUGGUUCUG